ensembl:snoRNA
GUACGAUGAUGAAAUCCAUGCGUGUCAACUGACUCUGUGAGCUGCUGGUGUUGGGAUUCUCUGGUUGGCGUUCUGCUGACCCGAGUUGUCUCUCCACCAGGGAACCAGAGACAUGAUCAGACGUUCAUGGUUCUGAUUAC